UUAAGCGACUAAGCGUACACGGUGGAUGCCCUGGCAGUCAGAGGCGAUGAAGGACGUGCUAAUCUGCGAAAAGCGUCGGUAAGGUGAUAUGAACCGUUAUAGCCGGCGAUGUCCGAAUGGGGAAACCCAGUGUGAUUCGUCACACUAUCGUUAACUGAAUACAUAGGUUAACGAGGCGAACCGGGGGAACUGAAACAUCUAAGUACCCCGAGGAAAAGAAAUCAACCGAGAUUCCCCCAGUAGCGGCGAGCGAACGGGGAGCAGCCCAGAGUCUGAAUCAGCUUGUGUGUUAGUGGAACGGUCUGGAAAGUCCGACGGUACAGGGUGAUAGUCCCGUACACCAAAAUGCACAGGCUGUGAACUCGAAGAGUAGGGCGGGACACGUGGUAUCCUGUCUGAAUAUGGGGGGACCAUCCUCCAAGGCUAAAUACUCCUGACUGACCGAUAGUGAACCAGUACCGUGAGGGAAAGGCGAAAAGAACCCCGGCGAGGGGAGUGAAAAAGAACCUGAAACCGUGUACGUACAAGCAGUGGGAGCACCUUCGGGUGUGACUGCGUACCUUUUGUAUAAUGGGUCAGCGACUUAUAUUCUGUAGCAAGGUUAACCGUAUAGGGGAGCCGCAGGGAAACCGAGUCUUAACUGGGCGUUAAGUUGCAGGGUAUAGACCCGAAACCCGGUGAUCUAGCCAUGGGCAGGUUGAAGGUUGGGUAACACUAACUGGAGGACCGAACCGACUAAUGUUGAAAAAUUAGCGGAUGACUUGUGGCUGGGGGUGAAAGGCCAAUCAAACCGGGAGAUAGCUGGUUCUCCCCGAAAGCUAUUUAGGUAGCGCCUCGUGAAUUCAUCUUCGGGGGUAGAGCACUGUUUCGGCUAGGGGGUCAUCCCGACUUACCAACCCGAUGCAAACUACGAAUACCGAAGAAUGUUAUCACGGGAGACACACGGCGGGUGCUAACGUCCGUCGUGAAGAGGGAAACAACCCAGACCGCCAGCUAAGGUCCCAAAGUCAUGGUUAAGUGGGAAACGAUGUGGGAAGGCACAGACAGCCAGGAUGUUGGCUUAGAAGCAGCCAUCAUUUAAAGAAAGCGUAAUAGCUCACUGGUCGAGUCGGCCUGCGCGGAAGAUGUAACGGGGCUAAACCAUGCACCGAAGCUGCGGCAGCGACACGAUGUGUUGUUGGGUAGGGGAGCGUUCUGUAAGCCUGCGAAGGUGACCUGUGAGGGUUGCUGGAGGUAUCAGAAGUGCGAAUGCUGACAUAAGUAACGAUAAAGCGGGUGAAAAGCCCGCUCGCCGGAAGACCAAGGGUUCCUGUCCAACGUUAAUCGGGGCAGGGUGAGUCGACCCCUAAGGCGAGGCCGAAAGGCGUAGUCGAUGGGAAACAGGUUAAUAUUCCUGUACUUGGUGUUACUGCGAAGGGGGGACGGAGAAGGCUAUGUUAGCCGGGCGACGGUUGUCCCGGUUUAAGCAUGUAGGCUGGUUAUCCAGGCAAAUCCGGAUAAUCAAGGCUGAGGUGUGAUGACGAGGCACUACGGUGCUGAAGUAACAAAUGCCCUGCUUCCAGGAAAAGCCUCUAAGCAUCAGGUAACAUCAAAUCGUACCCCAAACCGACACAGGUGGUCAGGUAGAGAAUACCAAGGCGCUUGAGAGAACUCGGGUGAAGGAACUAGGCAAAAUGGUGCCGUAACUUCGGGAGAAGGCACGCUGGUGUGUAGGUGAAGUCCCUGCGGAUGGAGCUGAGACCAGUCGAAGAUACCAGCUGGCUGCAACUGUUUAUUAAAAACACAGCACUGUGCAAACACGAAAGUGGACGUAUACGGUGUGACGCCUGCCCGGUGCCGGAAGGUUAAUUGAUGGGGUUAUCCGUAAGGAGAAGCUCUUGAUCGAAGCCCCGGUAAACGGCGGCCGUAACUAUAACGGUCCUAAGGUAGCGAAAUUCCUUGUCGGGUAAGUUCCGACCUGCACGAAUGGCGUAAUGAUGGCCAGGCUGUCUCCACCCGAGACUCAGUGAAAUUGAACUCGCUGUGAAGAUGCAGUGUACCCGCGGCAAGACGGAAAGACCCCGUGAACCUUUACUAUAGCUUGACACUGAACAUUGAGCCUUGAUGUGUAGGAUAGGUGGGAGGCUUUGAAGCGUGGACGCCAGUCUGCGUGGAGCCAACCUUGAAAUACCACCCUUUAAUGUUUGAUGUUCUAACGUUGGCCCCUUAUCGGGGUUGCGGACAGUGUCUGGUGGGUAGUUUGACUGGGGCGGUCUCCUCCCAAAGCGUAACGGAGGAGCACGAAGGUUAGCUAAUCCUGGUCGGACAUCAGGAGGUUAGUGCAAUGGCAUAAGCUAGCUUGACUGCGAGCGUGACGGCGCGAGCAGGUGCGAAAGCAGGUCAUAGUGAUCCGGUGGUUCUGAAUGGAAGGGCCAUCGCUCAACGGAUAAAAGGUACUCCGGGGAUAACAGGCUGAUACCGCCCAAGAGUUCAUAUCGACGGCGGUGUUUGGCACCUCGAUGUCGGCUCAUCACAUCCUGGGGCUGAAGUAGGUCCCAAGGGUAUGGCUGUUCGCCAUUUAAAGUGGUACGCGAGCUGGGUUUAGAACGUCGUGAGACAGUUCGGUCCCUAUCUGCCGUGGGCGCUGGAGAAUUGAGGGGGGCUGCUCCUAGUACGAGAGGACCGGAGUGGACGCAUCACUGGUGUUCGGGUUGUCAUGCCAAUGGCACUGCCCGGUAGCUAAAUGCGGAAGAGAUAAGUGCUGAAAGCAUCUAAGCACGAAACUUGCCCCGAGAUGAGUUCUCCCUGAGACUUUAAGUCUCCUGAAGGAACGUUGAAGACGACGACGUUGAUAGGCCGGGUGUGUAAGCGCAGCGAUGCGUUGAGCUAACCGGUACUAAUGAACCGUGAGGCUUAACCUU
rnacentral:rRNA from 1 species